rnacentral:RNase_P_RNA from 1 species
UAGACAAACGCUGGAAUAUUUAUAUUCUUGAGGAAAGUCCAUGCUCACACAUAACUGGGAUGUAUGUAGUGUUCGUGCCUAGGGAAUAAAUAACCUAGGGUAGUUUUACUAACGGCGAUUUUCAUUUCUAAGUCUUUUGAUAUGAAAUGAUUCAUAAAGUGCCACAGUGACGAUGCUUUGGGAAACUGAAGAGUGAAACGUGGUAAACCCCGCGAGUGAGAAAUCCAAAAUUGGUGGGAGAGCCUUAACGAAAGAAAUGAAUGGAGUUAAGGACCGAAAGGUAGAUAAAUGUUUGUCGCCUAGAAAUAGGUACAGAACAUGGCUUAUU